GCAAGUCGACGACGUAGCAAUACGGAGUGGCGCACGGGUGAGUAACGCGUGGGUAAUCUGCCUUAGAGUGGGGGAUAACCAGUCGAAAGAUUGGCUAAUACCGCAUAAGACCACAAGAUCUGCGGAUCAAGGGGUUAAAGGUUUUUCGCUCUAAGAUGAGCCCGCGUAAGAUUAGCUAGUUGGUGAGGUAAUGGCUCACCAAGGCAACGAUCUUUAGCUGGUCUGAGAGGAUGAUCAGCCACACUGGAACUGAGACACGGUCCAGACUCCUACGGGAGGCAGCAGUAGGGAAUAUUGCACAAUGGAGGAAACUCUGAUGCAGCGACGCCGCGUGAGCGAUGAAGGCCUUCGGGUUGUAAAGCUCUGUCGCAUGGGAAUAAGACAGUGAAUGUACCAUGCAAGAAAGGAUCGGCUAACUUCGUGCCAGCAGCCGCGGUAAGACGAGGGAUCCUAGCGUUGUUCGGAAUCAUUGGGCGUAAAGCGGGUGCAUGUGGCUCUGUAAGUCAGGUGUGAAAGCCCAGGGCUCAACCCUGGAAGUGCAUUUGAUACUGCGGAGCUU
rnacentral:rRNA from 1 species